ACUCCUACGGGAGGCAGCAGUAGGGAAUAUUGGUCAAUGGGUGAGAGCCUGAACCAGCCAUGCCGCGUGCAGGAAGACGGCCUUCUGGGUUGUAAACUGCUUUUACCAGGGGAUAAAACGACUCUGCGGAGUUAAUUGAAGGUACCUGGAGAAUAAGCACCGGCUAACUACGUGCCAGCAGCCGCGGUAAUACGUAGGGUGCAAGCGUUGUCCGGAUUUAUUGGGUUUAAAGGGUGCGUAGGCGGGCUAUUAAGUCAGUGGUGAAAGCCUGCAGCUUAACUGUAGCACUGCCAUUGAUACUGGUAUUCUUGAGUGUGGUUGAAGUGGGCGGAAUAUGUCAUGUAGCGGUGAAAUGCAUAGAUAUGACAUAGAACACCUAUUGCGAAGGCAGCUCACUAAGCCAUUACUGACGCUCAGGGACGAAAGCGUGGGUAGCAAACAGGAUUAGAUACCCUGGUAGGAUAGCGU
rnacentral:rRNA from 1 species